rnacentral:rRNA from 1 species
AGUGAACGCUGGCGGUAGGCCUAACACAUGCAAGUCGAACGGCAGCACAGUAAGAGCUUGCUCUUACGGGUGGCGAGUGGCGGACGGGUGAGGAAUACAUCGGAAUCUACUUUUUCGUGGGGGAUAACGUAGGGAAACUUACGCUAAUACCGCAUACGACCUACGGGUGAAAGCAGGGGAUCUUCGGACCUUGCGCGAUUGAAUGAGCCGAUGUCGGAUUAGCUAGUUGGGGGGGUAAAGGCCCACCAAGGCGACGAUCCGUAGCUGGUCUGAGAGGAUGAUCAGCCACACUGGAACUGAGACACGGUCCAGACUCCUACGGGAGGCAGCAGUGGGGAAUAUUGGACAAUGGGCGCAAGCCUGAUCCAGCCAUACCGCGUGGGUGAAGAAGGCCUUCGGGUUGUAAAGCCCUUUUGCUGGGAAAGAAAAGCAGCAGGUUAAUACCCCGCUGUUCUGACGGUACCCAAAGAAUAAGCACCGGCUAACUUCGUG